ensembl:lncRNA
AUUUGUACCAGGAGUCAAUGGAAAGUGGCAGAACAUAUGCAAAUCACCAUAUGAUAUUUAUGCAAAUUAGCAUAGAAAAGUCAAGCUAUAUCACCAGAAAAACUAGGGCUACCUCUUAAACACCGAUAAGACACAAUUUUUUUACUUGGCACCUCAAAGCUAUCUUAAAUCAUUGUAAUGUGCAUUUCUUUACAUGCACAAUAAGAUACUGGUGUUAGACAAUAUGAGAUCAAUCUAACGAGAAAGAAAAAAAUACAUCACACAAGGAAGCUGUCUCAGAAGUUUUAUGCACAAAGAAAUUCUUACUGAUUAUUUUGUCAAUUUCUUUCUGAUUAAAGCCCCUGAACACUAAAUAUUUAAGACCCAGGAAGAGGCAUUUGAUGUGGGAACUUUCCACUCUUUCCAAUCAAUUUUCUACAAACCUGAAAUAGCUCUAAGAAAGAAGCUAUGAAUUUUUAAAAUAUGGAAUUCGGUGGGCACUUGAAGAAGGAGUGACUACAGUGUCCCAUUCAGAAUUCAAUCGGAACUCUGAAUCACCCACCUCCUUGAUGGGCUCCCUGGCACAUGGUAAAAUGUCCACCUUCAUUUUUGGUUUCCCCUUAUGAUUCCUGCCUGCUCCAACCAGCUUCUUACUGGAUUCUUUGUCUUUAGAAGGGUGAAGACAGACAGACCAUGCUAAUGUCCUUGGCUCUCCUGAGCACUUGUCAUUGUAAUUACUAAGACAAAAUCUCACUUACCUGUGGCAUAAUGGCUCCUCUUUGUCUGCAAAAGAUGACCAGCAUCCCUCCUGUCUACAUGCGGAGCCCUUCUACUCUGGCUUCCCCACUGCAGGCAUGUGUCAGGGGAACCUAGUCUGCCAUGCUGCACGACCUUCUGUGUACCAUCACUAGGUGACUUGGCCCUGGAAUGUGAGGAGCAUCUGUGCUAAAGACAUUCUUGUCAGAGAACGCCUCCCCAGAUGCUUGGCCUUGGGCUGGUGAAGAAUCACACAGCAGGAAAUUCAGAACUCAAAUCACCCUGUUUACCUCAGCGGGGUUCACCACUUGCACUGAUCUGAAGGAAAUGAUCAAAGCUUGGCCACUUGGAAGUAGAUAAUAAUAAUAAAAAAAAAAGAAAAGAAAAGAAAAAAACCUUCUUCUUUAUUUCCAACCUCAAAGUGGGGGCUGAAUGGCUGUGGGCUGACCAAUCUCGCCAUCUUGAAGUGAUAGAAACAAGUUUUACCUCAAGAUCCCAGAUCCAAAGUUUCCUCAGGUUGCCAAGUGGAAAAGGCAAUCGAGGCUCAGCACUCAGUUGAGAAAACAGUGUGCUGUCAUUUCGAUUACAGUCAGUAAACAGUCUGUGUUUGCCUGGAAAGAAACUGCCUAAAGCACACAGUACCAGCGAGGAGUUGAAGAAGCACAGCUAAGGGCAACUCACAAGACUGUCAAUAUGGCUGAUGUUACAGUGGGUGUAGGGAUCCAGGACUGGCCAUUUGUCUGAGGAUGUUGUUUGCUUUGUAUUCACUGUGUUGCCAAUUUAGUUGAAAACAGAAAGCUUCCCGUGUUCAGAUUUAAAUGUGGGUUUUGCUCUACUGCACUCACACCCAGAAUGUUUGCUUAGGGCAAAGUCGUUUUGUUCACUCCUGUAUUUCUUCAUACAAAAAUCUUAUGCCCUCAGGACAAAAGCAACAAUCUAACUAAAGGAAAGAGAAAACUGUCAAGACAGAGACACCACCCUCCCAACCCCCUUUCAAACUUCUCAGAACAGGAGAUAGCCCUUUCUGAAAUACUGCAUUUUUUUUUAUGAGCACUUAGCAUGUUCCAUGCACUGCUCCAGGAACAUGGAGUGGAUGGAGGCUUUCAGCAGAAUGAUGGAGCAGAGGAAAUCUCCUUACAAGGCACUAUCCAGUAGAAAUAUAACAAGGCCCAUAUAUGUGCAUUUAAAUUUUCUAGAUGCUAACACAAAAACUGAAAAAGGAAGAAAGGUCAAAAUAAUUUCCAUGGAUGAUAUGUUUCAUUUAAGGUCACAUACCCUUAUUAUUUCAAAAUUUGGCACCACAAUUCCAGUGCUGAGUCCUUUUAUAUGAUUAGUGGGUUUAUAUUAAACAGACAUUUUCAGAAUUUAAAUUAGGCAAUGGUGUUCAGUGGGUACUUAUUUCUGGUUACCGGGAGCAGUCACUGUGCCUUCUCCUCAAGGAAUUUGCUAGCGAAUGGAGACAGGCACCUCCACUGGAAAACAGGAGAAGAUGUUUUAAUUACUGAAUAAAUUCAAAUACAACACGAGUGUACUUUGAGAGGCCAGAAGAAGGCAAAGAUGACUUCUGAUUUGGAAUUGCUGUGCGAUGUCCCCCAAGGCAGGACUCGAACCGAACAGAAUAAGCAUGUUAGAACCCCAAAACCAAACUCCAAGAGCAUUUGAGGGAAUGGAAAGUAGAUCAGUUUUGCUGGUGAAGUAAAUGGGUUAAUAUUUUCAGAGAAGCUGGUCAUUUUUUCAAAUAAAAGUUCAUUGAACUUAGCGGCAAUCAUUCACUCCUGAGGUUGCUGUAUUGUGAAAUGAAUCUAGUAAGGUUAGCCUAGUUGUGGGUUUAUCUUUGGGGUGCACAGGACUAUAAUGCAUGUGCUAUCUGGAUUGACUAGGACAAUAUAAUGAGGACACACUGUACCUGGAGGGAAUGGCCUUGUUAUUGUUAUGAGUCCUCUUCCUAUGUUUUCAUCCUAAUGGCUGGAUAAACUACCUUGUUUACUUAGCCAGCUCUACCUCAGUGCGCAUUUCCUUUCUUCUGGCGGGGUUGUUAUAGAACGUCUGCACACAUAGGAAACAAGACUUUCCAAAGUGUGGGGUGAAUUUCCUAAUACUAACUCUAAAUGCAAAGUCAUGAAUUGUUUUGAGGAAAAAACUGAAAUGUCCCAUAAAAUGUAUUGAGCACUUAGCUUGUUCCAUGCACUGCUCCAAAAACAGGGGAUGGAUGACAGAGUGCUUCCCCCAAUAGGCAUAUAGUGCAGCUUUUGUGAGACACACAUGCCACUUCAACAGGCAGAAAAUGAGUAACUAGCAUUCAAAUAAAGUAUGUGGCACAGGCUAAGGGGACAGGGCCUUUGGACAGGGUGGGAACUGAGGGAACUGACAAGAUGAGCAAAUCUCUUUAACAAGGGAAAUUUCAGUCACUAUUUGAAGUGAGUUCUGGGUUUCUCAGCUUCCUAAGGGAGAAGCAUUUCAGGGAAACACAGCCUGUGUGCUUCCAGGGACCGAAGGACAGUCAGAAGCCACUUUGCAGGCAACAGGAGGGUUUCAAGCAUUUUCCACGCAGCUGCUGUAGGGUUCUGUGCAGAAGAAUGAUGUGAUUAAAUUUCUGUUCUCCCAAGAUCACUCUGGCUUGUGGGACUAAAAUAGGCUCUAUGGCAAUCAGGCUGGAGGCAGGGAAAGAGAGAGAGAGAGAGAGAGAGAGAGAGAGAGAGAGAGAGAGAGAGAGAGAGAGAGACAUUGGUGGCUUCGGUGAAGCCAUGCCAUCAAUCAUUUCAAGGCUCCAGGUUCAGUGGAAUCACACUGCAGGACAUUAAGUGCAUAAAUGAAACAGAGAAGUCAUUAAAAUGAGAAGCAUAUUACAUAUGUGCAUAGAACAAAUAUGUUUGUGUGUUGAAGUAUUGCUGGCUAUGUUGAUGCAAGUGUAUAACCCCGACACUUGCAGGGAGGAGGUAGGAGAAUCAAGGCCAUCCUCAGCUAAAUUAGAAACAAUCCUGGGCUCUGUGAAAUCAUUUCUCAAAAUAAUAAUGUGAUGUGUACCCCUGCCCAAAUUUAGAUUCUUUACUUGUGGGGUCUUUAUUUCCUUCUUCUCCCUGCUUCCCCACCGUGGUUCUCUUUCAUAGCUUUGUC